GCUUCGGUAGCUUAGUGGUCAAAGCGUCAAUUUGAAGCAUUGGAGAUUCUUGUUCAAUUCAAGGCCGAGGCA
rnacentral:tRNA from 1 species